CCCAAAACUGCGCCCCGCGGGUGUGACGCCCCCGGGCGCAUGCGGGUGGUGGGGGGCGCAGAUGUCCCUGUGCAGCCCCCGAGGGGACAGGGGGUGUCGGGGGGGGGGGGACACACAAGGGUAGGGAGGGGACAGGGGGCUGCGGGAGCGCGGAGCCGGGAGCGCCGUGCCCCCGCUGCGCGUCCCCGCGGCCGUUCAGGAGGCGCCGGCGCUGGACAGCUCCGGGUCGGCCCCGCGGCGCCGCCCCCCCCCCCCCCAAAAAAAAAAAUAAAAAAUGGGGCUUCCAAUUCCGCCCACCCCCAAAAAAAUAAACCUAGGGGUGUCCCCCUGAGAACCCCCCUCCCCAUGGCCACCAGUGCCGGGGCUGCCGCUUCGCCAACCUGCGAGAGGCCAGGAGCUGCCCGCAGCCCCGCUGCCUCUCCCCAGCAGGUGCUUCAGCAGCCAGCACCUCACUCCCCCCAAAAAAAAAGAUCUCUCUCGUGGUGUCUGAGGACCCCAAGCCAUGUCCCGGAGCCGUCGUGCAGUCGAGGCACAGGCGAUGCUCUUGGGGAGGGCCGAAAGCGAGCAGCUGGGGAGGGGAGCGCAUCCCACCCAGCCCGGCUGGGGCCAUCGCAGCGUUUGGCCCCAGACCCGGGACCUGACGGGCUGCAGACCUGGCCCAGUCUCCUCGCCAGGAAGCUCCUUGCUUGCUUUUUUUUUUUGAGCAAGAGCAGAUGUCGCAGCGCCUGCCUGCGUGUCCUCGCCGGGUCCAGCAAGGCUGGGAGGAAACGGCCCCUCCGGCGCUCAACCCCGAAGCCUGGAGGCCCCCGGUGCUUUUUGGCUUUGGGGACGUGGCCUCGGGAAGCCGCAGCUGCGUGGAGAGCUGCUAAAGGCAUCAACUCGGCCGUGCUUGGUCGUGUGGUGUCCCACGUGCGGUGGGACAGCUGCGCUCACCUCCCUGCCCCGGCACGGGCUGCGCGUCCCCGGCGCUGGGCUCAGCUCCCCAGGCACCCCGGAGGCUGCUCUGGGCUAAGCCAAAGGUUGUUGAUCCCUCCUUGGAGGCCAAAGCUGCCGUCUGCACCGCUCCGGGUGCUGCACAGAGCAAGGGGAAGCCGUGCUGGGGCUCCGAGUGGCCACCCGUGAGCCCCCUGCUCCCCCCCGAGCCCCUGGGUGUGCAGCGAGGCUGCGCCCCCCCCUGCAUCCCCGAGCACCGGAGCGCAGGACCCCCUGGGAACCAUCCCCACCGUGCACAACACCUAUAG
rnacentral:lncRNA from 1 species